rnacentral:lncRNA from 1 species
AUUGCUCCAGGAAAUAGCCUGUUGAGAAUUCAGUGCUAGGAGAAAGCUGUGCUUUCCAAAUGAAUCCUAUGCCUUCUAAAAAGACAUCCAUAUGAUCCACAUAUAUUUUCUUUCUUUGCCUUAGCUGCCAGGGAGCUAGCAGUUAAAUUAGGUGGCUCACAGCAAUCAUUAGCUCUUCUCUAUUUUCUCUACAAAUGUAUCUGCAAUAUUUUUUUUUCCAGAGUAAGGUCUUUCUCCCAAUGGAGAAAUCACUUGGGCCACUUCUGCAUCUAGAGUGUCAGACCCAAGCUAGGAAAAAGAAUCAUCUUUAAAAGUAUGUCAUCAGCACUCAAGACCUUUAAUGAGCCAGCGGAAUUGGUCUCCUGGUCCUCUCCUCACUCCACAGAGACUGAAAACGAACCAGACAGAGGACGAGAGUCCACAUGCUGAACCACUUAAAUUCACAUGGCGGCUAAGAAGACAAGAGUUUCGGCAGGCAUAGAGGCUAAGAGAGUUAAGAGAAUCCUCCUUGCCUAGUACAGUCCCGAGAGAAUCCUCCUUGCCUAGUACAGUCCCAAGCUGCAUCAUAACCAGAUGAAAUGAAAAAGUUUUUUCUCCCAA